rnacentral:rRNA from 1 species
CGUGCCAGCAGCCGCGGUAAUACGGAGGGGGCAAGCGUUGCUCGGAAUCACUGGGCUUAGAGCGGGCGUAGGCGGUCCGGUCAGUCGGAUGUGAAAUCCCUCGGCUUAACCGAGGAAGGGCAUCCGAUACUGCCGGGCUUGAGGCAUUCAGGGGCGACUGGAACUCUCGGUGGAGCGGUGAAAUGCGUAGAUAUCGAGAGGAACGCCAAUGGCGAAGGCAGGUCGCUAGGGAUGUCCUGACGCUGAGGCCCGAAAGCCAGGGGAGCGAACGGGAUUAGAUACCCCGGUAGUCCUGGCCCUAAACGAUGCACACUAGGUGGGGGAGGGUCUGACGCCCAUCCCUGCCGCAGGGAAACCGUUAAGUGUGCCGCCUGGGGAGUACGGUCGCAAGGCUGAAACUCAAAGGAAUUGACGGGGGCUCACACAAGCGGUGGAGCAUGUGGCUCAAUUCGAGGCAACGCGAAGAACCUUAUCCUGGGCUUGACAUGCAGGCAGUAGGACCCCGAAAGGGGAACAACCGGUUCAGCCCGGAACCUGCACGGGUGCUGCAUGGCUGUCGUCAGCUCGUGCUGUGAAGUGUCGGGUUAAGUCCCUUAACGAGCGAAACCCUUGCCCUUAGUUACCAGCGGGUCAUGCCGGGGACUCUAAGGGGACUGCCGCGGUGAACGCGGAGGAAGGUGGGGAUGACGUCAAGUCCUCAUGGCCUUUAUGCCCAGGGCUGCACACGUGCUACAAUGGCAGGUACAGCGGGACGCGAAGCCGCGAGGCGGAGCCAAUCCCUAAAAGCCUGCCCCAGUUCGGAUUGCAGGCUGCAACUCGCCUGCAUGAAGGUGGAAUCGCUAGUA